rnacentral:rRNA from 2 species
UACAGAGGGUGCGAGCGUUGUUCGGAAUCACUGGGCGUAAAGCGCGCGCAGGCGGGCGUGUAAGUCAGAAGUGAAAUUCCGGGGCUCAACCCCGGAGCUGCUCCUGAUACUGCAGGUCUGGAGACCGGUAGAGGCUGGUGGAAUUCCCGGUGUAGCGGUGGAAUGCGUAGAGAUCGGGAAGAACACCCGUGGCGAAGGCGGCCAGCUGGGCCGGUUCUGACGCUGAGGCGCGAAAGCGUGGGGAGCAAACAGG